rnacentral:rRNA from 1 species
GCACAAGCGGUGGAGUAUGUGGUUAAUUCGAUGCAACGCGAAGAACCUUACCUGGUCUUGACAUCCCGGAGACCCUUAGGAAACUAGGGGGUGCUUCCAUCUGGAAGAAUCUGGAGACAGGUGCUGCAUGGCUGUCGUCAGCUCGUGUCGUGAGAUGUUGGGUUAAGUCCCGCAACGAGCGCAACCCUUGCCUUUAGUUGCCAGCAGUUCGGCUGGGCACUCUAAAGGGACUGCCGGUGUUAAACCGGAGGAAGGUGGGGAUGACGUCAAGUCCUCAUGGCCUUUAUGACCAGGGCUACACACGUACUACAAUGGCCGAUACAAAGGGCAGCGACACUGCGAGGUGAAGCCAAUCCCGUAAAAUCGGUCUCAGUCCGGAUUGGAGUCUGCAACUCGACUCCAUGAAGUUGGAAUCGCUAGUAAUCGUGGAUCAGCAUGCCACGGUGAAUACGUUCCCGGGCCUU